GAUCAUGGCUCAGGAUGAACGCUAGCGACAGGCCUAACACAUGCAAGUCGAGGGGCAACAUGGUAUCAGCUUGCUGAUACCGAUGGCGGCCGGCGCACGGGUGAGUAACGCGUAUGUAAUCUACCUGUAACAGAGGGAUAACCCGGAGAAAUCCGGACUAAUACCUCAUAGCACAUAUUAUUCGCAUGAAUUUUAUGUUAAAGAGACUCGGUUACAGAUGAACAUGCG
rnacentral:rRNA from 1 species